GCCUAGAUAGGUCAGUUAGUUAGAGCAUGGUGCUGAUAAAACGCUAAGGUUGCAGGUUCAAUCCCCAUAUUCUGGCAUUGCA